GAUGAACGCUGGCGGCGUGCUUAACACAUGCAAGUCGAACGAAGCACUCUACUUGAUCUCUUCGGAGUGAUUGUUUUGUGACUGAGUGGCGGACGGGUGAGUAACGCGUGGGUAACCUGCCUCAUACAGGGGGAUAACAGUUGGAAACGACUGCUAAUACCGCAGAAGCGCACAGCAGCGCAUGAUGCAGUGUGAAAAACUCCGGUGGUAUGAGAUGGACCCGCGUCUGAUUAGCCAGUUGGUGGGGUAACGGCCUACCAAAGCGACGAUCAGUAGCCGACCUGAGAGGGUGACCGGCCACAUUGGGACUGAGACACGGCCCAAACUCCUACGGGGGGCAGCAGUGGGGAAUAUUGCACAAUGGGGGAAACCCUGAUGCAGCGACGCCGCGUGAGCGAAGAAGUAUUUCGGUAUGUAAAGCUCUAUCAGCAGGGAAGAAGAAAUGACGGUACCUGACUAAGAAGCACCGGCUAAAUACGUGCCAGCCGCCGCCGUAA
rnacentral:rRNA from 1 species